GGGGAAUAUUGGACAAUGGGCGCAAGCCUGAUCCAGCCAUGCCGCGUGGGUGAAGAAGGCCUUCGGGUUGUAAAGCCCUUUUGUUGGGAAAGAAAAGCAGCCGGCCAAUACCCGGUUGUUCUGACGGUACCCAAAGAAUAAGCACCGGCUAACUUCGUGCCAGCAGCCGCGGUAAUACGAAGGGUGCAAGCGUUACUCGGAAUUACUGGGCGUAAAGCGUGCGUAGGCGGUUCGUUAAGUCCGUUGUGAAAGCCCUGGGCUCAACCUGGGAAUUGCAGUGGAUACUGGCGAGCUAGAGUACGGUAGAGGAUGGUGGAAUUCCCGGUGUAGCGGUGAAAUGCGUAGAGAUCGGGAGGAACACCCGUGGCGAAGGCGGCCAUCUGGACCAGUACUGACGCUGAGGCACGAAAGCGUGGGGAGCAAACA
rnacentral:rRNA from 1 species